rnacentral:rRNA from 1 species
GAUGAACGCUAGCUACAGGCUUAACACAUGCAAGUCGAGGGGUAACGAGAGGAAAGCUUGCUUUCCUUGUCGACGACCGGCGCACGGGUGAGUAACGCGUAUCCAACCUGCCCCCAACUAAGGAAUAACCUUGCGAAAGUAAGACUAAUACCUUAUAAUUUCCUCAGAUGUCAUCUGACGAGGAAUAAAGAUUUAUCGGUUGUGGAUGGGGAUGCGUCUGAUUAGCUUGUUGGCGGGGUAACGGCCCACCAAGGCAACGAUCAGUAGGGGUUCUGAGAGGAAGGUCCCCCACAUUGGAACUGAGAAACGGUCCAAACGCCUACGGGAGGCAGCAGUGAGGAAUAUUGGUCAAUGGGCGGAAGCCUGAACCAGCCAAGUAGCGUGCAGGAUGACGGCCCUAUGGGUUGUAAACUGCUUUUAUACAGGAAUAAAGUUAGCCACGUGUGGUUAUUUGUAGGUACUGUAUGAAUAAGGACCGGCUAAUUCCGUGCCAGCCGCCGCCGUAA